GACGAACCGAGCGAACGUUGUUCGGAAUCACUGGGCUUAAAGGGCGCGUAGGCGGGCGGCCGCGUCCGGGGUGAAAUCCUCCGGCUCAACCGGAGAACGGCCUCGGAUACGGGCGGCCUGGAGGCGGGUAGGGGCAAGCGGAACUGUGGGUGGAGCGGUGAAAUGCGUUGAGAUCCACAGGAACUCCGGUGGCGAAGGCGGCUUGCUGGACCCGAACUGACGCUGAGGCGCGAAAGCCAGGGGAGCGAACGGGG
rnacentral:rRNA from 1 species